GACGAACCGUGCGAACGUUGUUCGGAAUCACUGGGCUUAAAGGGCGCGUAGGCGGUCGUGACAAGUCACUUGUGAAAUCUCCGGGCUUAACUCGGAACGGUCAAGUGAUACUGUCGGACUAGAGUACAGAAGGGGCAACUGGAAUUCUCGGUGUAGCGGUGAAAUGCGUAGAUAUCGAGAGGAACACCAGUGGCGAAGGCGACUUACUGGACGAUUGUUGACGCUGAGGUGCGAAAGCGUGGGGAGCAAACAGG
rnacentral:rRNA from 1 species